CCUACGGGAGGCAGCAGUGGGGAAUAUUGGACAAUGGGCGAAAGCCUGAUCCAGCCAUGCCGCGUGUGUGAAGAAGGCCUUCGGGUUGUAAAGCACUUUCAGUGGGGAAGAAAGCCUUGGGGCUAAUACCCUCGAGGAAGGACAUCACCCACAGAAGAAGCACCGGCUAACUCCGUGCCAGCAGCCGCGGUAAUACGGAGGGUGCGAGCGUUAAUCGGAAUUACUGGGCGUAAAGCGCGCGUAGGCGGUCUGAUAAGCCGGUUGUGAAAGCCCCGGGCUCAACCUGGGAACGGCAUCCGGAGCUGUCAGGCUAGAGUGCAGGAGAGGAAGGUAGAAUUCCCGGUGUAGCGGUGAAAUGCGUAGAGAUCGGGAGGAAUACCAGUGGCGAAGGCGGCCUUCUGGACUGACACUGACGCUGAGGUGCGAAAGCGUGGGUAGCAAACAGGAUUAGAUACCUAGUAGUC
rnacentral:rRNA from 1 species